UCUGAACAUAACCGUAAUAUUUGCUUUCAUCUUCAGUUUAUUUCAUCUAAGGCUGUGACUGAAGUUGUAGUUCUCGUGUUUCUCUUUUCUUCAGUGAUUCUGCUUGUUAACAGCAGGUGUUCAUCACUAAUGCACAAUUAUCACUCGAUUAAUUAAUUAUCUCAAUAACUCCACUCUUGCAUGGUCUUGUUUUGGUCUUAGAGGACUGGUCUUCACUACACCUCAGAGAUUAACACAAAUAUGUGUAAAUGCAUAAUAUUAACACAUGAUGGGUGUUCUUGGCUGCACAGAUUGUGUUGGAUGCUGUGAAUGAAUACACAGGUUGUGUUCAUUUUAAAACUAAACAUCACUAUGUGUAAAGCAACUGAAUUCUUCCAACAGUGUUUUAUUUAUUAUUAUAAAUAACUAGAGUGCUACACAUAAUGUGUACUUUUUUUUUACACAUUUCUUCCAAGAGUGUAAUUAUCCUGAAGAUCCAGAUUUGCUUGUUCAGGUGUUUUCCCAUCCCUCUUCUAUAAGAAUGUAACAUGUUCAUUGUUUUCAAGGAGAAGCAGAAUGAAAAAGAGAAUGGAGUCUCAGAUGAAUCAGUCCAGACCUCAUGACAGACGCAAAGCUUGUGAUGUCGAAUUGAGUGAACAUAUGUAUGCGAAUGUAACGCGUGACAUGAAGAGGCCAUAGUAUUUGAAAUGCAUUGCAAAAUGUGUCUUCCUUUGGGUGGAGCCCUGAAUGAUUGACAGAUCAUUUUAUACAAAGUGACUUACAAAUGAUAAACAACUGUAACAACACUGUAACUGUAAUCUGUCAAAAGAGCCAGUAAUAGUUGCUGUGCACAAUGCCAAGUUUACAUUGUAAGCUACAUUAAUGCAAGCUUGUACAAAGUGAAAUGCUGAAAAUAUGAUAUAGAAAAAUAUAUAUAUUUUAAGCACUUGCAAAGGGAUCUUCAGCAUGAUGUUUUACUGAAAUGUUGUGAGGAUUAUUAUGAUUCAAUGACUGAUGGAAAUGGGGGAGGAAAAGUAUCACAAAUUUAUACAAAGUGUCUAAUCACUGAAGUGUGUUUUUUAUUUACAUUUUGUUUUUGAUUACUUCAUUUACAUGUAUUAUGGUGUUUCAGCCUUUAGUAUCAUUGUUAAUGUCUUCAAUGCAUAUAAUAAAGCUCUA